AACAAGGCGUACCUGCGGACCUGCGGAAGGAUCAUUACCGAGUGCGGGUCCUCGUGGCCCAACCUCCCACCCGUGACUAUUGUACCUUGUUGCUUCGGCGGGCCCGCCAGCCCUGCUGGCCGCCGGGGGGCGUCUCGCCCCCGGGCCCGUGCCCGCCGGAGACCCCAACAUGAACCCUGUUCUGAAAGCUUGCAGUCUGAGUGUGAUUCUUUGCAAUCAGUUAAAACUUUCAGCAACGGA
rnacentral:misc_RNA from 1 species